CGGCGGACGGGUGAGUAACACGUGGAUAACCUACCUAUAAGACUGGGAUAACUUCGGGAAACCGGAGCUAAUACCGGAUAAUAUAUUGAACCGCAUGGUUCAAUAGUGAAAGACGGUUUUGCUGUCACUUAUAGAUGAUCCGCGCCGCAUUAGCUAGUUGGUAAGGUAACGGCUUACCAAGGCAACGAUGCGUAGCCGACCUGAGAGGGUGAUCGGCCACACUGGAACUGAGACACGGUCCAG
rnacentral:rRNA from 1 species